rnacentral:rRNA from 1 species
GACGAACGCUGGCGGCGUGCUUAACACAUGCAAGUCGAACGGAAAGGCCCUGCUUUUGUGGGGUGCUCGAGUGGCGAACGGGUGAGUAACACGUGAGUAACCUGCCCUUGACUUUGGGAUAACUUCAGGAAACUGGGGCUAAUACCGGAUAGGAGCUCCUGCUGCAUGGUGGGGGUUGGAAAGUUUCGGCGGUUGGGGAUGGACUCGCGGCUUAUCAGCUUGUUGGUGGGGUAGUGGCUUACCAAGGCUUUGACGGGUAGCCGGCCUGAGAGGGUGACCGGCCACAUUGGGACUGCGGUACGGCCCAGACUCCUACGGUGGGCAGCAGUGGGGAAUAUUGCACAAUGGGCGGAAGCCUGAUGCAGCAACGUCGCGUGCGGGAUGACGGCCUUCGGGUUGUAAACCGCUUUAGCCUGUGACGAAGCGUGAGUGACGGUAAUGGGUAAAGAAGCACCGGCUAACUACGUG